CCUGGCUCAGGAUGAACGCUAGCGGCAGGCUUAACACAUGCAAGUAGAACGGUAACAGUCCUUCGGGAGCUGACGAGUUGCGAACGGGUGCGUAACGCGUAUGCAACCUACCUAUAACUGAGAGAUAGCCCAUAGAAAUGUGGAUUAAUACCUCAUAACAACUUAAGAUGGCAUCAUCUAAAGUUUAAAACUCCGGUGGUUAUAGAUGGGCAUGCGUGACAUUAGCUAGUUGGUGAGGUAACUGCUCACCAAGGCUACGAUGUCUAGGGGUUCUGAGAGGAUGAUCCCCCACACUGGUACUGAGACACGGACCAGACUCCUACGGGAGGCAGCAGUGAGGAAUAUUGCGCAAUGGAGGAAACUCUGACGCAGCCAUGCCGCGUGCAGGAUGACUGCCCUAUGGGUUGUAAACUGCUUUUAUAUAGGAAGAACUACAGAUACGUGUAUUUGUUUGACGGUACUAUACGAAUAAGGACCGGCUAACUCCGUGCCAGCAGCCGCGGUAAUACGGAGGGUCCAAGCGUUAUCCGGAUUUAUUGGGUUUAAAGGGUCCGUAGGCGGGUCAUUAAGUCAGUGGUGAAAUCCUACAGCUCAACUGUAGAACUGCCAUUGAAACUGGUGACCUUGAAUAUAAUUGAAGUAGGCGGAAUGUGUCAUGUAGCGGUGAAAUGCUUAGAUAUGCCACAGAACACCGAUUGCGAAGGCAGCUUACUAAGUUAUUAUUGACGCUGAGGGACGAAAGCGUGGGUAGCGAACAGGAUUAGAUACCCUGGUAGUCCACGCCGUAAACGAUGUAUACUCGUUGCUAGCGAUACACAGUUAGUGACCAAGCGAAAGUAUUAAGUAUACCACCUGGGGAGUACGAUCGCAAGAUUGAAACUCAAAGGAAUUGA
rnacentral:rRNA from 1 species